UUCAUGAACGGCAGCGGUACAUGGGUGGGCUUCCAGAUCCAGCGGCCUCACCAUCACCACCCGACACGAGGACACGCGACGACUGACUAGGCGAGGGGAGCAGUCGGCGGGCGAUGGUCGGCGGCGGCGCACAUGGCGGCACCACCUACAAAGGCUACACCAUCCCGCACAACAAGCGCUGGCACACCGUCGCCGGCAAGGGCCUCUGCGCUGUGAUGUGGUUCUGGGUCUUCUACAGGGCUAAGCAGGAUGGUGCUACGCUCUUGGGUUUGCGUCAUCCUUGGGAUGGGCAUGAUGACCACUCUCAUGGUCAUGGACAUGGGAAUGAGGUAGGAGACCAUCUGAUCCCUUCUAUUUACUUAGCAUUACAGAAUGCAUUCUUUUAGCUUGUUUUGUUAAUGAAUUGCUGUUUGACUCCUGUCAAUUUGCAAUCUUAUUUUCAUUUUCAUUUGAUGUUUUUUUAUUCCCCCGUGGCAGUUUUUUUAUGUGUUAUACUUUUGAAAAAUUACUAACAUAAGAAGAAAUUAUGCCUGGUGACCUAAAUAUUUGUUUCUGCAAAUAUCACUUUGUGGAUUAUGGUGAGAAAAAUACAUGUUUCGAAUGUAUGAGUGUUGCAUGAUCAUUUCAAUGUAUUAUAAUAUGGUGCUUUAAUUGGUAAGUCUAACACCUCACGAAAUAGUUGAUCAGCUUAGUCUGUUCUUUAUUGUGUAAACAUGCUUUCCCUUUUGUUUGCAUUGGGUUGGGGGAGUGUGACUGGUAAUUCCCAGAUAUUAUCAAGUGUUUUUAUUUGCCAUGUUUGCUUAAUACUUAUAUCGUGCACGUUUAAGGAUUUAUACUUUCUAGCACUAAACUGUGUAUGAUGUUCUGACUGGAAAUUAAUAAAAACUGCAGAAAACAAAGAAUCAUUUGCUUACACUGAUCCACCGUGCUAUUCCAGUCUUAUUUAAAAGAAAUAAAGAAACUAGAGAUGUCAAUGGGGACCCGAUACCCGCCAACCCGUGGGGAAUUCCCUUAUUAGGGUACGGGUAUGAGACGAAAAUUGUCCCCAUGGGUAUGGAUAUGGGACAAAAUCUCCACUCAUUGGGUAAACGGGUAUGAGUUUGGGAAGCAAUAAUCCGAACCCGAUUACCCAUGGGUAUUUCAUACGUGUACACCUGUCGUGUUUGUAUGAAUGAGUUGAGCCGAGUCGGCCACCAAGCCCAGCACGACAGCGCACCAGGCCCUAGGUCCUAGCCCAACAAGGCAACUAGCAUAGCAGACUAGUAAAAAACAAAACCCUAAAAUAACCAGUCAUAUGCUACGCCCUACCAAGAUGACGGUGACGACCAUGGAUUCUCAUGCGCCAACGAACUCAGAUGGUGACCAAGGAAGAGAUCGUGACAUUAAGUUGCCUACUCUCGGCGGACGGUGAUUUGAUGCUUUGCAUGUCACAACAACUAAAGAUUGAGUUAAUAAAUUCUAUCACCCUUCAUGGUACUCAUGUUGUAUGCAACUGGUUUAGCACAAACUGGUUUCGUUACGAUUGUGCUUAUGUAUUUGAUUUGAAGCAUCGGUUAUGUGGAAAAGAAUCUGGUUUAUGUUGAUAGUUCAGUACAUUGCUUUGCU